AUGUCCGGCUCCGACCCACAGGGCCGGUGGAUGCCCUCCUCCGUCAUGGAAGAGGAUGUGCUAAAGCUGCGAGAAGCCAAGUACCUGACCUACGAGAUUUCGCAUAGGUUGCCCGCCAAAGGGCAAGUCAUUCCCACCCCCGAGCCCGGCGAGUAUGUCGUGUUUGUAUCCCACCUCCGUCGGGGUUUAGGCUUCCCGAUGGAUCCCUUUGUGAGAGGGCUCAUGUUUUACUAUGGGUUGGAAUUCCACGACUUGGCUCCGGAAUCCAUCCUCCAUAUUUCUUCAUUCAUCGUCGUCUACGAAGCCUUCCUCCGCGUCACCCCUCACUCCGUCUUGUGGCUUAAGACCCUCGACGUGGAGCCGAAGAUGAUUGAGGGGCGUCAAGCAGAGUGCGGCGGGGCGGUUGUAAGCAGAAGGGCUGACGUCCAUGGCCCUAGGGCUCUUUUCAGGAGGAGCUCGGCUUGUGGCAGUAGGAGUGGUUCUACAUAA
rnacentral:rRNA from 1 species